ACGGAAGGCAGCAGUGGGGAAUAUUGGGCAAUGGGGGAAACCCUGACCCAGCAACGCCGCGUGAAGGAAGAAGGCCUUCGGGUUGUAAACUUCUUUUACCAGGGACGAUAAUGACGGUACCUGGAGAAAAAGCAACGGCUAACUACGUGCCAGCAGCCGCGGUAAUACGUAGGUUGCAAGCGUUGUCCGGAUUUACUGGGUGUAAAGGGCGUGUAGGCGGAGCUGCAAGUCAGAUGUGAAAUCCCGGGGCUCAACCCCGGAACUGCAUUUGAAACUGUAGCCCUUGAGUAUCGGAGAGGCAAGCGGAAUUCCUAGUGUAGCGGUGAAAUGCGUAGAUAUCAGGAGGAACGCCGGUGGCGAAGGCGGAUUACUGGACGACAACUGACGCUGAGACACGAAAGCGUGGGGAGCAAACAGGAUUAGAUACCCUGGUA
rnacentral:rRNA from 1 species